GACGAACGCUGGCGGCGUGCCUAAUACAUGCAAGUCGAGCGGAAGUUGAAGAGCUUGCUCUUCAACUUUAGCGGCGGACGGGUGAGUAACACGUGGGCAACCUGCCCUGCAGAUCGGGAUAACUCCGGGAAACCGGUGCUAAUACCGAAUAGUUUUCGCCACCUCCUGGUGGCGUACGGAAAGACGGUUUCGGCUGUCACUGCAGGAUGGGCCCGCGGCGCAUUAGCUAGUUGGUGGGGUAACGGCCCACCAAGGCAACGAUGCGUAGCCGACCUGAGAGGGUGAUCGGCCACACUGGGACUGAGACACGGCCCAGACUCCUACGGGAGGCAGCAGUAGGGAAUCUUCCGCAAUGGACGAAAGUCUGACGGAGCAACGCCGCGUGAGUGACGAAGGUUUUCGGAUCGUAAAACUCUGUUGUGAGGGAAGAACAAGUACCACUUAACUACUGGUACCUUGACGGUACCUCACCAGAAAGCCACGGCUAACUACGUGCCAGCAGCCGCCGUAAUAC
rnacentral:rRNA from 1 species